AAAUAUAUCAGCUGUACACUUGUCUCUCAUCUACACUAUCUAUCCCAAUCAGAAUAACAACUUUGAUUCCUUUCUAUGCCUGAUCACGUGUUGUUUACAGCUGCGAUUAUUAUCCAUAGGACGGUUGACAAUUAAUCCAUCUAAAUAAACUUGAAUGGUUUGAUGUCUUCCACGUGUCUCUUCUUUGAAUAAAAGGAAAGUUGGAAACUGUGGGCAAACAAACCAAAUUCAAACUAUGUCUGAAACUCUAUCAACUCUAUCUUCUUCUCCAUUUUCUUUCUUUCUUUCUUUCUCGAUUUGAUAGAAGCUCCCAUAGAUAUAGAUGAUGAAGAUAAAUGGAGCUUCUUAUCUUCAACAUCCCCCCUCAAGAUGGAGGGCAGUUAAGAAACCCCCAACUUGGAAAGUAUAUGACGGUGAGAAGCUCCAGUCAAAGGUUUGGUAAAUAGAUCGGCAAGUUGGUGGUCAGAUGGAACAAAUCGAAGUGAUAUAAGACCGGAGAGGUAUUGCUAUCGAACAAAAUGACAGUCAAGCUCGACAUGCUUCGUUCUUUCAUGAAAAACGGGGUUACAAGCGAUAUGUAUCGCAGCUUGACCGUUAGAGUGAAUGGGUACUCGUAAACAUAGUGAUAGAGACAGAUCUUCAAGUAAUCGGAUGAGCCAAGUGAGUUCAGAGGUUACCUUACGCAUGGAUCUAUACUCGCUUCGGCGGAUGAAAGGGAAAUCGAAGCUUGUUUCUUCGAUUUCCAAGAAAUUGGAGCACCCCCAAGUGUUAUAUAAAAACCACUUACUGAACAGCGGGAGUCAAAGCAUGAAGCCCAGUCGGAGUCACAGAAUGCUUGUAGGGAAAAAGAAGGGGUUGAAGAAAGAAGAAUACCUUGACCUGGAUCUAAUGAAGGUACUUUAAGACCCUAAGUGCAGCAGACUAAUGAGAAAGGCAAGGCCUUUGCAUGAAUUGACUGAGUUUCAACACUGGAAAUGCCAAAUCUAGACGAGUGUGAGUGAGGAACUUAGCACCAUUUGAUUUCCCAAAUCUGUGCUCUAGACUAUUCCAAAGCUCUUUAGCAGAUUUGGAGUAAAUCACACUGUCCUUUAUCUCCUUGGACAGAGAAUUUAGUAACUAGGUUGUUACCAUGUCAUUACAGCAGCUCCACUGUUCAUAUUCUGUGGAGUUUACAUCUGGUGGUUUGCAAGACCCAUUAUUGAAACCAAGCUUUUUCUUGGCUGAAAGAGCUAUCAAAAUGGACCUCUUCCAUACUAGGAAACCUUUACAUUCAAACACUGUGUUGAAAAGGUUCAUUCCAGGAGAAUUAGAUGCAUGAAGAUAGUAAGGGUGAGAAGGGUUAAGGGUGACCGCAUUGCUAUUUUCUACAAGAAUCACAAAGAAUCGGGUUUUCGGAUGACGUAGACUCCUAUCAUGGUUGUUUGAUUGUAGACACACGUAAAAUUGUAUUUGAUUUUAACAAUAGAUCGAGCUUACUGCUCUGAUACCAUGUAAGAAAUAUGAGAAAGGGUUUGGAAAAUUUUCUAUUUAAUCUUUAUUCAUCCUCCAUGCCUGUAUAUAUACAUGUAUUUGUACAAAGGGAUAAAAGAAAAUAUAUCAGUUGUACACUUGUCUCUCA